UAGAAUGGGGGCACCUGCAUCCAGCAUGCCGCGUGAGUGAAGAAGGCCUUCGGGUUGUAAAGCUCUUUUGUCAGGGAAGAAACACCGGCUCUAACACAGUCCGGGAAUGACGGUACCUGAAGAAUAAGCACCGGCUAACUACGUGCCAGCAGCCGCGGUAAUACGUAGGGUGCGAGCGUUAAUCGGAAUUACUGGGCGUAAAGCGUGCGCAGGCGGUUAUACAAGACAGGCGUGAAAUCCCCGGGCUUAACCUGGGAAUGGCGCCUGUGACUGUAUAGCUAGAGUGUGUCAGAGGGGGGUAGAAUUCCACGUGUAGCAGUGAAAUGCGUAGAUAUGUGGAGGAAUACCAAUGGCGAAGGCAGCCCCCUGGGAUAACACUGACGCUCAUGCACGAAAGCGUGGGGAGCAAACAGGAUUAGAUACCCUGGUAGUCCACGCCCUAAACGAUGCUGACUAGUUGUUCGGGAUUUACAUCC
rnacentral:rRNA from 1 species